GACGAACCGUGCGAACGUUGUUCGGAAUCACUGGGCUUAAAGGGCGCGUAGGUGGUUUGCCAAGUCGGGGUUGAAAUCUUUCGGCUUAACCGGAAAAGUGGCUUCGAUACUGGCAAGCUGGAGGGAGGUAGGGGCGGAUGGAACUUCCGGUGGAGCGGUGAAAUGUGUUGAUAUCGGAAGGAACGCCGGUGGCGAAAGCGAUCCGCUGGACCUCUUCUGACACUGAGGCGCGAAAGCCAGGGGAGCAAGCGGG
rnacentral:rRNA from 1 species